UGUGGUAUAGCGCAGUGGUAGAGCCCUUGCUUAGCAUGUAUGAGGCACUGGGUUCCAUCCUCAGCACCACAC
rnacentral:tRNA from 1 species